AAAUCCAAAACAAAUCACAAUUAGAAAGUAACUGGGAUACGUUUCUUCACACUACCUACCAGACCUCAUGCUACUCCAGGGAAACUUAGUCGAUGGUUCAACGGUUUCAGCACCGUCAGUUCGUCGGCGGCCUCUAUCAGCAAAACCCUUGUAAGUUUUGAGUCCCACAGGCUCCUUCUCAUGCAGCCAAUGCCUCUUGGCCUCGCCCUCCUCAACAAUGCUGGACUUAGACUGUUUAUUCAUA
rnacentral:misc_RNA from 1 species